GUCCUCUGCUGACUGUCCUGUCUGUCUCUGUUCCUCAUCUAUAUCUGUAAUAAUCACUGUCCUCUGCUGACUGUCCUGUCUGUCUCUGUUCCUCAUCUAUAUCUGUAAUAAUCACUGUCCUCUGCUGACUGUCCUGUCUGUCUCUGUUCCUCAUCUAUAUCUGUAAUAAUCACUGUCCUCUGCUGACUGUCCUGUCUGUCUCUGUUCCUCAUCUAUCUAUAUCUGUAAUAAUCACUGUCCUCUGCUGACUGUCCUGUCUGUCUCUGUUCCUCAUCUAUAUCUGUAAUAAUCACUGUCCUCUGCUGACUGUCCCGUCUGUCUCUGUUCCUCAUCUAUCUAUAUCUGUAAUAAUCACUGUCCUCUGCUGACUGUCCUGUCUGUCUCUGUUCCUCAUCUAUAUCUGUAAUAAUCACUGUCCUCUGCUGACUGUCCCGUCUGUCUCUGUUCCUCAUCUAUCUAUAUCUGUAAUAAUCACUGUCCUCUGGUGACUGUCCUGUCUGUCUCUGUUCCUCAUCUAUAUCUGUAAUAAUCACUGUCCUCUGCUGACCGUCCUGUCUGUCUCUGUUCCUCAUCUAUAUCUGUAAUAACCACUGUCCUCUGCUGACUGUCCCGUCUGUCUCUGUUCCUCAUCUAUAUCUGUCAUAAUCACUGUCCUCUGCUGACUGUCCCGUCUGUCUCUGUUCCUCAUCUAUAUCUGUAAUAAUCACUGUCCUCUGCUGACUGUCCUGUCUGUCUCUGUUCCUCAUCUAUCUAUAUCUGUAAUAAUCACUGUCCUCUGCUGACUGUCCCGUCUGUCUCUGUUCCUCAUCUAUAUCUGUAAUAACCACUGUCCUCUGCUGACUGUCCUGUCUGUCUGUCUCUGUUCCUCAUCUAUAUCUGUAAUAACCACUUUCCUCUGCUGACUGUCCUGUCUGUCUGUCUCUGUUCCUCAUCUAUAUCUGUAAUAAUCACUGUCCUCUGCUGACUGUCCCGUCUGUCUCUGUUCCUCAUCUAUAUCUGUCAUAAUCACUGUCCUCUGCUGACUGUCCUGUCUGUCUGUCUCUGUUCCUCAUCUAUAUCUGUAAUAACCACUGUCCUCUGCUGACUGUCCUGUCUGUCUGUCUCUGUUCCUCAUCUAUAUCUGUAAUAAUCACUGUCCUCUGCUGACUGUCCCGUCUGUCUCUGUUCCUCAUCUAUAUCUGUAAUAAUCACUGUCCUCUGCUGACUGUCCCGUCUGUCUCUGUUCCUCAUCUAUAUCUGUCAUAAUCACUGUCCUCUGCUGACUGUCCCGUCUGUCUCUGUUCCUCAUCUAUAUCUGUAAUAAUCACUGUCCUCUGCUGACUGUCCUGUCUGUCUCUGUUCCUCAUCUAUCUAUAUCUGUAAUAAUCACUGUCCUCUGCUGACUGUCCCGUCUGUCUCUGUUCCUCAUCUAUAUCUGUAAUAACCACUGUCCUCUGCUGACUGUCCUGUCUGUCUCUGUUCCUCAUCUAUAUCUGUAAUAACCACUGUCCUCUGCUGACUGUCCCGUCUGUCUCUGUUCCUCAUCUAUAUCUGUCAUAAUCACUGUCCUCUGCUGACUGUCCCGUCUGUCUCUGUUCCUCAUCUAUAUCUGUAAUAACCACUGUCCUCUGCUGACUGUCCUGUCUGUCUGUCUCUGUUCCUCAUCUAUAUCUGUAAUAAUCACUGUCCUCUGCUGACUGUCCCGUCUGUCUCUGUUCCUCAUCUAUAUCUGUCAUAAUCACUGUCCUCUGCUGACUGUCCUGUCUGUCUGUCUCUGUUCCUCAUCUAUAUCUGUAAUAACCACUGUCCUCUGCUGACUGUCCUGUCUGUCUGUCUCUGUUCCUCAUCUAUAUCUGUAAUAACCACUGUCCUCUGCUGACUGUCCUGUCUGUCUGUCUCUGUUCCUCAUCUAUAUCUGUAAUAAUCACUGUCCUCUGCUGACUGUCCCGUCUGUCUCUGUUCCUCAUCUAUAUCUGUCAUAAUCACUGUCCUCUGCUGACUGUCCCGUCUGUCUCUGUUCCUCAUCUAUAUCUGUAAUAAUCACUGUCCUCUGCUGACUGUCCUGUCUGUCUCUGUUCCUCAUCUAUCUAUAUCUGUAAUAAUCACUGUCCUCUGCUGACUGUCCCGUCUGUCUCUGUUCCUCAUCUAUAUCUGUAAUAACCACUGUCCUCUGCUGACUGUCCUGUCUGUCUCUGUUCCUCAUCUAUAUCUGUAAUAACCACUGUCCUCUGCUGACUGUCCUGUCUGUCUCUGUUCCUCAUCUAUAUCUGUAAUAAUCACUGUCCUCUGCUGACUGUCCCGUCUGUCUCUGUUCCUCAGGACUAAAGCGUGUCGUUACUUCGACCAGGGUCGUGGCACCUGCCCGUUUGGCUCCAACUGCUUCUACAAACACGCCUUCUCUGACGGACGGCUGGAGGAGCCUCAGCCUCCGAGAAGACAAGCAGGGUCCAACGGCAGGAACAGGAACUCGAGGAGGACACCUCUGUGGGACCUGUUUGAAGAGCGGGAGAACAGCAGCGACUCUUUGGACAACGAGGACGAGGAGAUGGUGACCUUUGAACUGAGCGAGAUGCUCCUCAUGCUCCUCGCCGCGGGAACCGACGACGACGUCACGGACUCGGAGGACGAAUGGGACUUGUUUCACGAAGAGCUGGACGAUAUCUACGAGAUUUACCUAUAGCGCCACGCCUAACGUUAACGUUUAAAACCCCCCUGUCCUUUUGACCUACCCUCUUCACCUUUACCGCGCUGUAGAAUGGACUGUCUUGUGUGUCUGGACAGUAGCUUCUUUCCGCUGUGUCGUGGCAGUGCCUUUGAGCAGGCCUUUCAUUCAGAAAUCAACUACCAUGAAGAAGAAAAAACAAAAUGAACAAAAAAAAUGUAAAUGAGAACAGGUGGGUGUAAAAAUACAUUUUCUAUAAACGUCGUGUCCUUGUGAAUUUAUCUAUCCGUGUCAGGUUCAUGUAAGAAAAAUAACAACAACGAGAAGAAGAAAAAACAAGGGGAAAAAAAUAUUACAAACCAUUUUUGAAAAUAUCGCUAAUAAACAGUGUUUGUUUGUGGACGUGGGUUUGACUUAUCAUUUUUACCCAGGUGAUGUUUUUAAGACUUUUUUUUUAUUUUAUUUUUUUUGAGGAUGAUGCAUCAAACCAACUCUACACGACUACACUUCCUGGUGAUGAUGUCAUGUGUCUGUGGUGGUCAUGGGUAUCGUAGUCCUCUGGUCAUGCACUGAGUUUAUUGGGUGGAGGGAGACAGCAGUCCUGUCGACUUCCUAUAUUCAUGUGUACCCUCUUGAUUCACUCUCUUUCCCUCCUCCCUCUCCUGAGGGUGGUGGGAACUCCCUCUGUCAAGGAGGGGGGGGGGGGGGGGGGACUUCGGGGAACAACUUACAGUAUCUAAAGUUAUUUUUUAAAUGGGCCCAGUCCUCUUUUAUUUUUUUCCCCCCCUGUCCCAAUGGCAGGUAUUAUUCAGGAACACCUGUGGUACCUAAUGACAAGUCUCUCCUCAGAACCAAGCUGAAAGUGACACUCGAUGACUCUGUGUCCCUAAUGGCACCAUAUUGACUAUACACUGAGUGGACAAAACAUUAGGAACACCUUCCCAAUAUUGUUGCCCCUCCCUCCCCUCAGAACAGCCUCAUUUCUUCGGUGCGUGGACUCUACCAGGUCUGAUCCUUAUACCAUAGGGCUCUAGUGAACUACCAGUGGUCUAGAUAGGGUGCCAUUUGGAACACAGACCUGUCUGGUCACUACUUAUUCUCUUUGAACUCUCAUUAGAAUGCACUAUAUAUUAUGUUUCUCUAUUGUUUUUCUAUGGUCCACAACCAUCCAUCAUGACUUGAAAUUAAAGUUUAUUAUCAAAGUUAA